rnacentral:rRNA from 1 species
AUGCAGUCGAGGGGUAUAGGUUUUCGGAUCUAGAGACCGGCGCACGGGUGCGUAACGCGUAUGCAAUCUACCUUUUACAGAGGGAUAGCCCAGAGAAAUUUGGAUUAAUACCUCAUAGUAUUAUGAAAUGGCAUCAUUUUAUAAUUAAAGUCACAACGGUAAAAGAUGAGCAUGCGUCCCAUUAGCUAGUUGGUAAGGUAACGGCUUACCAAGGCAACGAUGGGUAGGGGUCCUGAGAGGGAGAUCCCCCACACUGGUACUGAGACACGGACCAGACUCCUACGGGAGGCAGCAGUGAGGAAUAUUGGACAAUGGGCGCAAGCCUGAUCCAGCCAUGCCGCGUGCAGGAUGACGGUCCUAUGGAUUGUAAACUGCUUUUGUACGAGAAGAAACACUACUUCGUGAAGUAGCUUGACGGUAUCGUAAGAAUAAGGAUCGGCUAACUCCGUGCCAGCAGCCGCGGUAAUACGGAGGAUCCAAGCGUUAUCCGGAAUCAUUGGGUUUAAAGGGUCCGUAGGCGGUUUAGU